GUGCAAAGUAUGCCAUCAAUGCCCUAAAACUAUCACUGGUGCAGCUGCACAGGGGCCGGCACGGUGAGGCCAUACAUUGAUGGAAACCCGAUGAGUAUGUGUAAUUAGGGGUCUGUGUGCUGUAGCCAUUAUAUAGAGGAGGGUGGUGGAAACUGGGAGAGCCAGUCUCACAGAUUCAACAGCCUAGGCCAGCAGAUCCAACAGGACCACAGAGCAACCAUCCUCCUGCACCUGAAAGGUACAAAAAACAUGAGUGUGGUUACAACUUUGUAAAUUUUGACCAGCAUGUGUCUGUAUGUCUGUGUAUUUGAUGUGUCUGUAUUUGUAUAUGUGCAUACAUCUCA